rnacentral:rRNA from 1 species
UACGUAGGGUGCGAGCGUUGUCCGGAAUUAUUGGGCGUAAAGGGCUCGUAGGCGGUUUGUCGCGUCGGGAGUGAAAUCCACUGGCUUAACUGGUGGCUUGCUUUCGAUACGGGCAGACUGGAGGUAUGCAGGGGAGAACGGAAUUCCACGUGUAGCAGUGAAAUGCGUAGAGAUGUGGAGGAACACCGAUGGCGAAGGCAGCCCCCUGGGCUGAGAUUGACGCUCAGGCACGAAAGCGUGGGGAGCAAACAGG